AAACCAACAGGGAUUACCUUAGUAACGGCGAGUGAAGCGGUAAAAGCUCAAAUUUGAAAUCUGGUACUUUCAGUGCCCGAGUUGUAACUUGUAGAAUUUGUCUUUGAUUAGGUCCUUGUCUAUGUUCCUUGGAACAGGACGUCAUAGAGGGUGAGAAUCCCGUUUGGCGAGGAUACCUUUUCUCUGUAAGACUUUUUCGAAGAGUCGAGUUGUUUGGGAAUGCAGCUCAAAGUGGGUGGUAAAUUCCAUCUAAAGCUAAAUAUUGGCGAGAGACCGAUAGCGAACAAGUACAGUGAUGGAAAGAUGAAAAGAACUUUGAAAAGAGAGUGAAAAAGUACGUGAAAUUGUUGAAAGGGAGGGGCAUUUGAUCAGACAUGGUGUUUUUGCAUGCACUCGCCUCUCGUGGGCUUGGGCCUCUCAAAAAUUUCACUGGGCCAACAUCAAUUUUGGCGGCAGGAAAAAUCUUUGGAAUGUAGCUACCUCGGUAGUGUUAUAGCCUUUUGAAAUACUGUCAGCUGGGAUUGA
rnacentral:rRNA from 1 species